CCGCCUUGGCCUCCCAAAGUGCUGGGAUUACAGACGUGAGCCACGGCGCCCGGUCUUCUUUUUAUAUUUUUAAAUGUGUCUUCCCCAAAUAUAAAUGGUUGGUAAGCAUGCCAAAUAUAUUCAGUAACCCCCCUCCUUUAUUUUUUUUUGUUGAAGUGAGGCUCUCCCUAUGUUGCCUAAGCUGGUCUUGAACUCCUGGUCUCAAGCAAUCCUCCUACCUCAGCCUCCUGUUGUGUUCAUCUACAAAUUGAUGAGUGAAAGUCAUAAUCCUACAGGGGGGUUACCCUAUUUAUUUCACAAACCCUGUUUCUAUGGGAUUUUCAUAUAAGGAAUACAGGCAUGUGUUUCAACUCAUUAAUUUAUUUUUUCACUUAGUUUUCAUAAUAUUCACAUAUAUUACCAAGUGUGCAAACAUUAAAAUCUUGUGUACAAAACUCAAAUGGUCUUCCAAAUAAUUCCCCAUUCUUUUUUCUUAUAAAUUUUCACAGCUUUACCCUUGACAGACUUUACUCACAGGAAAUCUAAGUUGGUCAUAUGUGGCUCUUUCACUGAUUACUGUUUACUUCAUUGUCCAGUAGUUUAUGUAUGAAAAUAUAAUUAUACAAUGUAAGGGUCCUACUUCCAGUGAAACUGGAGGGACUUAGGCCCACUUUUAUCCUUUACUGAGAGCUUAUCUCUACUUGAUAAAAUUUCUGCUGUAUUCUUGGCUUAACUCAUGUCCUGUGAUUAAAAAAAAAUGCAAAGUA
rnacentral:lncRNA from 1 species